GACGAACGCUGGCGGCGUGCUUAACACAUGCAAGUCGAACGGAAAGGCCCUGCUUUUGUGGUGUGCUCGAGUUGCGAACGGGUGAGUAACACGUGAGUAACCUGCCUUUUACUUUGGGAUAACUUCAGGAAACUGGGGCUAAUAGCGGAUAGGAGCUCCUGCUGCAUGGUGGGGGUUGUGAGGUUUCGGCGGAUGGGGUUGGACUCGCGGCUUAUCAGGUUGUUGGUGGGGUAGUGGCUUACCAAGGCUUUGACGGGUAGCCGGCCUGAAAGGGUGACCGGACACAUUGGGACUGAGAUACGGCCCAGACUCCUACGGGAGGCAGCAGUGGGGAAUAUUGCACAAUGGGAGGAAGCCUGAUGCAGCAACGCCGCGUGCGGGAUGACGGCCUUCGGGUUGUAAACCGCUUUCGCCUGUGACGAAGCGUGAGUGACGGUAAUGGGUAAAGAAGCACCGGCUAACUACGUG
rnacentral:rRNA from 1 species